rnacentral:lncRNA from 1 species
GCGGCCUAGAGACUUGAUUUGAGUCUGGGGAGGGGCGGAGCGAGGAGCUGGUUGUAGGCUAGCGGUGGCGGGCCAGGAGCGACGCGAGCCCAAGGAAGCGAAGGGCGCGAGAAGCAGGUUACGCAGCGCCAACUGGUUUGAGUCCGAGAGGGAGCGGCGAGGAACUGCGCGCGGCCCAGCGGCGCGAGCCCGAGGGAACAGGAAGUUGAAACUCGGGGCAUAGGAUCUGCGCAGAGGGCUCCGGUCACAGCCUUUUUAAAGAAACAGUGCAGCUGCUUUCCUGAGCCGUAACAAAGAACAUAAGAACAGCUAUACCGGGUCAGACCAAAGGUCCAUCUAGUCCAGUGGUUCUCAAACUUUUGUACUAGUGACCCCUUUCACACAGCAAGCCUCUGAGUGCGACCCCCCCCUUAAAUAUAUUAAAACAGUAUAUUUAAUUUAUAACUGUAUUAUAAAUGCUGGGAUGAAGCGGGGUUUGGGGUGGAGUCUGACAGCUUGUGACCCCCUGAUGGGUCACCUAGUUUGAGAACCCCUGAUCUAGCCAUUACCCUGUCUUCCUACAAUGGCCAAUGCCAGGUGCCCCAGAGGGAAUGAACAAAACAGUCAUCAUCAAAUGAUCCUGUUGCCCACUCCUAGCUUUUGGUAAACGGGCUACAGACACCAUCUCUGCCCAUCCUGGCUAAUAGCUAUUGACUAGGACCAAAGGACUAUUAUGUUCUUCCAAAAGGAAUUGUAACAUCACCAAGUUGAAAACCUCGCAAAGUUCUCGCUUCCUAUCAAUAUCAGGGAUCUGAGGAAGCUGGUAGAAAUGUCAUCCGUAAAAUAUUAAAGACCAUCUCAGUUCCAGGGAAUUAUUUUCCUUUCUCUAUAUAUUUUUCAGUGGUAUGCAUUACCGUUUGCUAACCAUCUAUGCUUUAAAAUGUUAUAAAUGUAUGGUUAAUGUAAACCAUCAUUAAAAAAACUAAUGUCACUUUAUGAUUGAAAUUGAAUACUAAGCAAAAUCCCCAACUGAGAUAAAAAUGUGAGUUUGUAAAAUGAAGGGUUGAUAUAGACUUGUGAGGCAGGGGCAGGUAAGAAUUUACUUUCUCCAUAUUCUUAUAGAUUCAUAGA